rnacentral:rRNA from 2 species
GAGUUUGAUCCUGGCUCAGAGCGAACGCUGGCGGCAGGCUUAACACAUGCAAGUCGAGCGGGCGUAGCAAUACGUCAGCGGCAGACGGGUGAGUAACGCGUGGGAACGUACCUUUUGGUUCGGAACAACCCAGGGAAACUUGGGCUAAUACCGGAUAAGCCCUUACGGGGAAAGAUUUAUCGCCGAAAGAUCGGCCCGCGUCUGAUUAGCUAGUUGGUGAGGUAACGGCUCACCAAGGCGACGAUCAGUAGCUGGUCUGAGAGGAUGAUCAGCCACAUUGGGACUGAGACACGGCCCAAACUCCUACGGGAGGCAGCAGUGGGGAAUAUUGGACAAUGGGGGCAACCCUGAUCCAGCCAUGCCGCGUGAGUGGUGAAGGCCCUAGGGUUGUAAAGCUCUUUUGUGCGGGAAGAUAAUGACGGUACCGCAAGAAUAAGCACCGGCUAACUACGUGCCAGCAGCCGCUGUAAC